rnacentral:rRNA from 1 species
CGCCUCUUGAAAAAAUAUAAGAGGUCCAGCCUGCCCAGUGAUUUAAUUUAACGGCCGCGUGAUUUUAAACGCGCAAAGGUAGCACAAUCACUUGUUCUUUAAAUAAGGACUCGUAUCAACGGCAUCACGAGGGCUAUACUGUCUCCUCCCCCCAAUCAGUGAAACUAAUCUCCCCGUGAAAAAGCAGGGAUAACACUAUAAGACGAGAAGACCCCAUGGAGCUUAAAACACAGCAACAACUACAAUAAUAUUAAACCACAAAAUCUCAAGCCAUGUCUGCCAGUUUUAGGUUGGGGCGACCGCGGAGUACAACAAAACCUCCACAGCGAAAGAGACUCAACCCUUAUCCAAGAGACACCCCUCUAAGAAUCAAUAAUAUGACGCCCAAUGACCCGACUAUCGAUCAACGAACCAAGUUACCCUGGGGAUAACAGCGCAAUCUACUUCAAGAGCCCCUAUCGACAAGUAGGCUUACGACCUCGAUGUUGGAUCAAGGUAUCCCAGUGGUGCAGCCGCUACUAAAGGUUUGUUUGUUCAACAAUUAAAACCCU